rnacentral:lncRNA from 1 species
GAGGUUUUUACAUGGGCCGGCCCAGUCCAAGAUUUUUCGCUUUGUGAAACGUUUUCUAUUACUUACCGGUGGCAUGGUGGGUAAUUUAUGCAAACUUUAGGAGUAAUUUUCAAAACGGACGACCGAAAACUGAAUUUGCUUUAUUAUUAGGGAGAUUUUGAAAUUUAUUUCAGGAUUUCCGACAUUAUUUUUGAAUUUAUUUCAGGAUUUUUCGCGACAUGUUUUCAGUGAAAGGAGACGUUCCUCUCGAUGAUGAGGCGCUUACAGUGACUUCGUAAAUCUUAAGAUGAAAUGUCGGUUCAGUGUGUCGAAGGUGUCCAUAGGGAUAAGGUGUGCGUACGUGCGUUCAUAAGGGUGAGUGUAUGCGCAUUUAUAUCAACGCUUGCGUGUGUACUGUGUUGAAAAAAUAAAACCAUAUUGUAUGACACAUUAAUGUGCUCAUUCUUGAUUGAGGCAAUCAUCUUCAUUUACGCAUAUUUCAACAUAUAACCCAUUGAUACUUGUACAUUAUUGACAUUACGCACUUCAUGAAAAAAGAUUUCUCUCGCUUUAUAUUACAAAGCAAACAACUGAUACAACCAACGAUAGGUGUUGGGGCGAAAGCAGCACAAUCACAA